rnacentral:misc_RNA from 1 species
UUAAGUUCAGCGGGUAAUCCUGCCUGAUCUGAGGUCUAAUCUAAAAUUGACUAUAGAGGUUGGAAGCGUCUACAAUUAUCUUAUUCGGCCACUAAUAAAAGUGUCCUCAGCGAAUAGUCUAUUACACUGAGUCAAUCCGAAUUCGAAUUAGAGAUGCUAAUAUAUUACGAACGAGCUACGUCAAAAGACCAGCAACAUUC